rnacentral:rRNA from 1 species
GUGGGGAAUAUUGCACAAUGGAGGAAACUCUGAUGCAGCGACGCCGCGUGAGCGAUGAAGGUCUUCGGAUCGUAAAGCUCUGUCCUAAGGGAAGAUAGUGACGGUACCUUAGGAGGAAGCCCCGGCUAACUACGUGCCAGCAGCCGCGGUAACACGUAGGGGGCGAGCGUUGUCCGGAAUUACUGGGUGUAAAGGGUGCGUAGGCGGCCUUGCAAGUCAGAUGUGAAAGAUCACGGCUUAACUGUGGUAAGCAUUUGAAACUGUAAGGCUUGAGUGCAGGAGAGGAGAGUGGAAUUCCUAGUGUAGCGGUGAAAUGCGUAGAUAUUAGGAAGAAUAUCAGUGGCGAAGGCGGCUCUCUGGACUGCAACUGACGCUGAGGCACGAAAGCGUGGGGAGCAAACAGGAUUAGAAACCCUAGUAGUCC